UUUAGAUAAAACAGUUAUCAUUAAUUGGCGAUAAAAAUCUAGCUGAUACAAUUGAAAAUAAUUUGCUCUUACUGCCAACAGACAAUAUUUUGUCAGAAUACAGCAUGAAUUGUCUAAAGAAGAAAAAAAAGUUUAAAGAGUUGACAAGUCUAUGUAACUCUGUCACUGAAGCUGCUUUAAAGUCAAAUAAUAACUUAAC
rnacentral:lncRNA from 1 species